CCUACGGGAGGCAGCAGUGGGGAAUAUUGCGCAAUGGGGGCAACCCUGACGCAGCAACGCCGCGUGAUUGAAGAAGGCCUUCGGGUUGUAAAGCUCUUUAUUCGGGGACGAAUUUUGACGGUACCCGAAGUAUAAGCUCCUGCUAACUACGUGCCAGCAGCCGCGGUCAUACGUAGGGAGCGAGCGUUAUCCGGAUUUACUGGGGGUAAAGGGCGUGUAGGCGGGCAUACAAGCCAGAAGUGAAAUCUGGGGGCUUAACCGCCAAACUGCUUUUGGAACUGGGUGUCUUGAGUGAUGGUGAGGCAGGCGGAAUGCCCAGUGUAGCGGUGAAAUGCGUAGAUAUUGGGAGGAACACCAGUGGCGAAGGCGGCCUGCUGGACAGUAACUGACGCUGAGGCGCGAAAGCGUGGGGAGCAAACAGGAUUAGAUACCCGAGUAGUC
rnacentral:rRNA from 1 species